CCUACGGGCGGCUGCAGUGGGGAAUAUUGGACAAUGGGCGAAAGCCUGAUCCAGCCAUGCCGCGUGUGUGAAGAAGGCCUUCGGGUUGUAAAGCACUUUCAGUGGGGAAGAAAGCCUUGGGGCUAAUACCCUCGAGGAAGGACAUCACCCACAGAAGAAGCACCGGCUAACUCCGUGCCAGCAGCCGCGGUAAUACGGAGGGUGCGAGCGUUAAUCGGAAUUACUGGGCGUAAAGCGCGCGUAGGCGGUCUGAUAAGCCGGUUGUGAAAGCCCCGGGCUCAACCUGGGAACGGCAUCCGGAACUGUCAGGCUAGAGUGCAGGAGAGGAAGGUAGAAUUCCCGGUGUAGCGGUGAAAUGCGUAGAGAGCGGGAGGAAUACCAGUGGCGAAGGCGGCCUUCUGGACUGACACUGACGCUGAGGUGCGAAAGCGUGGGUAGCAAACAGGAUUAGAUACCCCGGUAGUC
rnacentral:rRNA from 1 species